rnacentral:rRNA from 1 species
UACGUAGGGUGCAAGCGUUAAUCGGAAUUACUGGGCGUAAAGCGUGCGCAGGCGGCUUUGCAAGACAGAUGUGAAAUCCCCGGGCUCAACCUGGGAACUGCGUUUGUGACUGCAUGGCUAGAGUACGGUAGAGGGGGAUGGAAUUCCGCGUGUAGCAGUGAAAUGCGUAGAUAUGCGGAGGAACACCGAUGGCGAAGGCAAUCCCCUGGACCUGUACUGACGCUCAUGCACGAAAGCGUGGGGAGCAAGCAGG